GGGGCAGCUGGCCUUACCGAUGUCGGAGGCUCUGUGCGCCGGGUGUUCUAGUGUCCACGACCCCUCUGUCCCAACCUGUGCUGAGCUAUGAGGCCUUUGGGGGACAGACCCCAGCGGGCAGCUCCUUCCCGCUCUUCCUUCCCUGCACCCGUCUCCCUGGCUUCUAAGUCCUGUCCACCCUCCUCUGGCCUGCUGUGUCCUGGCUCCCACGCCUGCUGGCUUCAGACAUCACUCUUUCUAGCUGACCAUCUUCCUGCAUUUCCUGGUCUUUCCGUGGCGUCUGUUCCAACGUCAGUGCUUCCUGCCUCCAGCCGGGGAAGUGACCUGCUGAACACAGAAGCACUGGAAGAAGCGUGUGCACAGGCCCCUGAACUCAGGAGGGAAACAGGCAUCAGAGACACAUAGCAGCAUCGACCUGGCCAUACCCAGAGACCAGGUACUUCCUCCUUUUUGCCCAUACCCCAGAGCUGCCCCCCCCUCCCCUUGUGGCCAGGGAGGCCCACUCUUGGCGCACAGGUG
rnacentral:lncRNA from 1 species